UACGGGGGGGGCAAGCGCUGUUCGGAAUUACUGGGCGUAAAGGGCUCGUAGGCGGCCAACUAAGUCAGACGUGAAAUCCCUAGGCUCAACCUAGGAACUGCGUCUGAUACUGGAUGGCUUGAAUCCGGGAGAGGGAUGCAGAAUUCCAGGUGUAGCGGUGAAAUGCGUAGAUAUCUGGAGGAAUACCGGUGGCGAAGGCGGCAUCCUGGACCGGCAUUGACGCUGAGGAGCGAAAGCCAGGGGAGCAAACGGG
rnacentral:rRNA from 1 species